rnacentral:rRNA from 1 species
GAAUGUUGGACAAUGGGCGAAAGCCUGAUCCAGCAAUGCCGCGUGCAGGAUGAAGGCCUUCGGGUUGUAAACUGCUUUUGUACGGAACGAAAAGCUGUGGGUUCAUACCCGAGAGUCCUGACGGUACCGUAAGAAGAAGCACAGACAAACGACGUGCCAGCAGCAGCGGUAAUACGUAGGGUGCAAGCGUUCAUCGGACUUCCUGGGCGUACAGCGUGCGCCGGCGGUUUUGUAAGACAGAGGUGAAAUCCCCGGGCUCAACCUGGGAACUGCCUUUGUGACUGCAAGGCUAGAGUACGGCAGAGGGGGGUGGAAUUCCGCGUGUAGCAGUGAAAUGCGUAGAUAUGCUGAGGAACACCGAUGGCGAAGGCAACCCCCUGGGCCUGUACUGACGCUCAUGCACGAAAGCGUGGGGAGCAAACAGG